GAGCAGGACGUUUUGGACGCAAAGGUGCGAUAUUCAACUUGCUGUGCAGUGACAGAGACAACAUGCUAAUGUCAAAGAUUGAGAACCAUUUCAACCAUCAAGUGGCUGAGAUUCCCUCAUGGAAUAGUGAAGAAGACUUUGAAAAUGCUCUGAAGAUAGCUGGCUUGCUGUAAGCCGAGUAUGAAUGUUGGUUAUAUUCAUAGACUUCGAGUAGAACUACACUGGCUGGUGAUCACAUUUGUAUCGUUGACAGAGCAGCGCUCCGGGGAGGCUUUUCUUCUUGAUUGCUCUCAUGCUUCACUUACCAUUUCUAGUGUUAUAACUUCUCAAAAACAUGCCUAAUCUCCCCAUGCUAAAUAGAAUUAACACUUUUAAAAGGAACAUGUAAAGAAAAACAAUUAUAUUUUAAACACAACAGUGCAAAUGAUUGAAGAACUUCGCUAUCCAGUGAGCAAAAACAGCAGCCAAAGUGACCUCAAACUCCGGUAGGGCUCAAAGAACCAAUGGCAGAAAUACCAAUCACAACCGGUAACCCGAAUCGUCCCCAACCCCUUAUAAUUUGUUUCUCUUCUACUGUAUUAGUUAUUUGCUUCUUUUACUUACUGCCUUUAUGACUCUAUUAUUUCACUUCCUAUUUAUUUUAUUAAGUUAUUUUGGUGUCUUCUGGAAUCUAGUUGCUCUAAAUUUGUAGUCACG
rnacentral:misc_RNA from 1 species